ensembl:lncRNA
CACAUCUGACAGAAAAAAGCAGGCCUUCCUGAUGCACAACAGCAUUUCAGUCCCUCCUAGAUUAAAGAAUACAUACUCUUCAACCACAUUUUCAUUAAUGAUUACUUGAGAUGUUUGUAAUACAAGGGACAGUAAGCACAGGACUAUUCAUCACUCUCCUCUCCAAAGUGGCCAUUCAAGACACCAGGAGAAACAAGCACAGUUGAAGGGACCCUGUCAACUCUAUCAUCUGCUUCCAGUCCCCCCCCUUCUCAUGUCAGCUGGUAGAGAUCUUGUGAGCAGUACCCACUGCUUGCCCAAGCACAUUCCAGCAGUGAUGGAUGAUAUUUUUUGAGAACUGGCCUCACAAUGUUCCAAACAAGGAGAGAAUGUGGAGAUGAGCUCUACAUUUGUCAGGGGCCUUAUGCCUCUGAUUUGGAUCAACAGUGUAGCAAAAUGUUUGUUCUCCAAAGGAAGCGGAGGUCACCUCUGCCAUAUGGGUCAUAACAAUCUGAAGCAGCCCUAUAGGCUUGGGGAAGAGAGGUUGGAAAGACACCUGGCAGAAAAGGACCUGGGGGUGUCAGCUGACAGCCAGCAGUGUGCCCAAGUGGUUGAGAAGACCGAUGGAAUACUGGCCUGCAUCAGAAAUGGUGUGGCCGGAGGAAUCAGUGAAGGGAUCAUCCCUUCGUAUGUGGCACUCAAAGUGUUGCCUAGGGAGGUGGUGGAAUCACCAUGCAUGGAAAUAUUUAAGAGACACGUGGAUGUGAUGCUAAGUGAAAUGGUUCAGUAAUGGAUUUGGCAGUGUCAGGUCAAUGGUUCAACUCGAUGACCUUAAGGUAAUCACUCCAACCUAAAUGAUUCUAUAAUUCCAUGAUUCUAUAUCUUAUGAUAGCCCCAUAAUGUGGAGAUGUCAAUUAUGGCCAAAGCAGCUGUGUUGGUAAACAGCUGUGUGUAAGCAAAUCAGAGCCCCUUAUUACCAUAGUAUGCCUUAUUUUGUCAGAUAAUGGUGGGAAGCUCUAUUUGUCAGAGAGUACCUUGCCUGUUUGGAUUGCUGGUAUAUCUACUCUAUGAUUCUACGCUAUCAGUGAAAAUAUUUCAGGUCCAACAGGCUGACUCUGCAACUCUGCAACCAAAGUCUUACUGACAACUAAAUAACGUGCUGGGGAAGUUUCUUUAACUCUACUAAUUCUAUUGCAAACUUAUCUGAGUCAUUUAGAGGAUGAUGCAUGUCUGAUUAUUUUUGCUAUUCUGGUGUGAGUCUGGAUACUACCUGUACUACGUGCUUCAGUAUUUUAGAAUUAGUCUUACAAAUUUCCAUUCUCAACAGCUUUUGAUAAUUCAGAAUUGUAAAUGAACUAGAUUUUUUGAAAAACUCUUUCUGAAUGAAACAAUACAAAAAUACAAUACCUCAGAAAUGAUGAAAUGCAUCCUUUUGAGGUUAUGACAUUUGUUUCCUGUAGGCAAUGAAAUUUUAGCACUUGCAGUCCUCUGAGUGUAGUUUCUAUCCAAUGCAUGUACUGCAGAGAACAGAACUAUUUCAGGUUAUUAUAUGCUAUCUCUUUUGUGCUUAGGAAAACCUUUUGGAAAGAGUAACAGUGAGGUCCGGCAGUCAUACACUUAAUCAGUCUAUACCUUAAUAUCUUAUUUCCAAUAGAGGUUAAUGUCAAUUUGAUUUACAUUACAGCAGGAAAUCCUGCAGUAGAAAAUAAUGGAGUAUACUGUCAUAUGAAAACUCUCUUAUUAUCACAUAGCUUCUUAAAAGCAGCAUAUUCCCUGAAAUACAAAGUUUAUGCGUCGUGUUAGAUAUUCUGGUUUCUACUUGUGUUACCUGAUGUUCUUGUUACCCUCACAAACUUCCUGUUUCUGGAAGGAAUGACGUCCUUUGGAAAUGAGUUGACACACUGUGCAUUUACACAGCUGAAAAAUACCUGUUUCCUUUUGCCAGUUAUAAAUGUGUUAUCUUUAGAUUAAAUGAAUGUUUACUUGUUUAUUUCUGGUGAGAAAAGGCCAUUCUAUUAUUUCAGUACCUUCUCAGUAUUUUUCUGCAUGCAUUUAUUCAAUUUCCUGUUAUUUAUUUCCAUUUUAAAGUAUAGCAUUAUCUUCGUAAAAAUGUGUUUCCACAUCUAACAAUCUUUGCCAUCAAUUCUAGUCUUCUGGUUUUGCUAUGCCUCCCCUGGGAACACAAAAUCUCUAUAAUAAAUUGCAAUGAAAGAGUGUAAAUUAAUUUAGCAUGCAUUUCCACGCACUGAAUCUGCUUCCUGUAAAACUUUUGGUAUUUCAACUGGCUGUCAUUUUUUUUUUUAAUAAGUGGACUUUUUCAGAAGCAUUUGCUUUUUUCGCUCGCACAUUUUCUUUGGACAAAGGGCCAGACUGAAUAAGUAAUAUGCCAAGCCACAAACAGCUUUCCUUUACAUGUCAGUAUUUUAAAUUGAAUUGGUUUUCUUUCCAAGCCUUAUUUCUACCAAUAAGAACUGAGUUUGGCUAGAAACUGAAGACUUCUUCUUGCCCCUUGUAGGGUUGGACUUCACUUCCAAAAUGAAAAGGCUUAAAAUAGACAUCUAAGAGUAUAAAAAAAUAAAGCUAGACCAUUUUAGAUGGUUUUCUGGCAUGUAUUUUACAAUUUGCUUUAAUUAGGAAUUACACUUCAGGUCCAAAAAAUUAAAAAUGCAAUCAUCGGCAAUCUGCUUUGGAACAGAAUUUGCAUGAUAAAUGUGACUAAUAUGUGUGUACAGGAGAGCACAACAUAAAUAUUUCAUUUCAAUAAGAUUGGACACUGUGAUGACUUGCAGAACUCAAGUACUGUAUUCAUCCAGAAAAAUGUAUUGUAUCACAAUAUGUAUUCUCUCAUACAUAUUACAUAUGUUUUAGCUUAAAAUAUUGCUAGGGAACCACUAGAAAGUGUAUGGGGGAAAACAUGAAGUAAGUCUUGCCAUCCCUGAGCUGUUCCCACUGGUCGCUGAUCUUACCUCCCCUACAGUUCUGAGCACGUAGCACCGGCAAUGCUCACCUUUACAAGCUUUGCUGUGGUUAUAGCUAGAUGCCUACAGUAAACAGCUAAGAAAAGUAAGGUGAGAAUGGCAAAAAUACACACGAUUUCUCCACACUGAUUAGAAAUGGGGAAUAUCAGAUUACACAUCUGGAUGUUCGAAAUUUCGUGAGAUGAACUCCAGCCUAGGACUCUGGCACAACCACCUUCCAGAAAGCGAAAAACACUUGCUGCUAAAGUGGAACAAGAAUCCAGGAAAGGUUAUAUGGAUACUCUAGAGCCUGUGCUAUGCACUGGCAGAGAGCCGUGAAGACAGCUUUCGCCAUAAAAUGGCCAAGUAUGAGCCACCGCUGGAGGAGAAGGAUGUUUCUGAGACUCAUGAUGCAUGCCUAACAUUACUGGGAAAUGGUGAAACUUACCUUGGUGGCAAUAGUCUCCAACAGUUAUCGUGGUAUGACAUGGCAGGUCACCUCCCUACUUCUUACCUUUCUCAUUUUUGCUUUCUGUCUUCUGAGAGUCUGGUUCAGUCAGCAACUCCACCCAGCCCUCCACCGGGUGAGAGCCUGGACGAAAAGAGCACAGGAGAAAUGACAUUUCCAGUGGCAUAAUAUUUUGCCAGCUGAUGAAAUAGCUGCUAAAGCCGUGUUGUCUGGCUUUUGCUUUCAAAACAGCUCUGGCCUCUACGAGAGCCAGAGACAAAGGUUGCAUUUUCUAUUACUUCUCUCAUCUUGGUUUUUUUUUUUCUUUUCUUUUCCUGUUCUAUUUGUUUCCCUUAAGGAAGAUGGGAUCAGAGCUCAGAAGCAAAAUAAUCAAAUCUUCCUCAUAAUUACAUCAAUAAAGAUGUUUGUGACAUGUUAAAUACCAUCCAAGAAGAUUCUCAAACAGGAUUUCGCAGCGCUCCCCUCCAUACAGCUUAAGAAAACAUGGCAAAGCAGCUGCUUAGAGGAAGAAACUUCCUAUUUGAGUGGCUUGGUUUGUUGUUUUUUGUUGGUUUUUUUUCAUCCUGGGCAGUUCUGUGGAUGUCAACUUUUUACUCUGGAAAAUUUGAUUAGAUGUGCGUAAUUACUUUAAAAGGAAAUAAUAAAUUUGCGAGCAUGACGUCUGUAGAACAGAUCAGCGAAAAGAUAGAGGACCAUUUUAGUGCUCAACUCUGCCUUGAUGUCUCAAAGACAAAUAGGAAAAUCUGGACUAGUGCUCUCUCAAAGUCAGCUGGGCCUAUUUUCAGUGACCCAAUUAAAGCCACAAUUUCACACCAAUGUCUAGGAGCUUAAGGGGAUCACAGAAUCAUAGAACCACAGAAUGGCUUGGGUCGGAAGGGACCUCAAGGAUCAAGCUCCAAGCCCCCUCCUGCAGGCAAGGCCACCAACCUCCAUAUCUAAUACUAGACCAGGCUGCCCAGAAAAAAAAAAAAAAAAGAAUAACAAAAACAGAUUUUAAUCAGAAAUUAAAAACAAACACCUUUGAGAAAACUAAGAAAGACCCCCAGGAAGGCAUGUAGUUAGUUUUGUGUGCAUGGUUGUGUUGGGAACGCAGAGUGGAUUUCUUCAUGAGCCCAAAACUGAGCACAGUUGUAAGUAUUUGGAGGAUUUAAGCUUAAUGGUAGAGCUGAUGUUUCAGAUAAGGAUAAGAAAAACAGCAUACGCAAGGCAAUGGAUUAAAAUAUUAGGGUCAUGUGGUGACUGAUAACUUAUGUGAUCUUUUUAAGAGUCUAAAUGGAGAACUCAGAUAAAAGGAAUUGCUUUUUUACUACUUAAGCUGGCCCAAAUAUGAGUCAAUGUAAAUUAGGAAUACUGCACUCUGCCUUCCCGGUCUUUUCGUUUAUGAAUUUGAACAAGGAGUGAGCAGAUAAAGAACUGGCCUUCUAGAGGAACUUCAUGCUAAACCUGAUCUGUCUUUAAUAACCGGGGAUGCGUUUUGUCUCCUGCCCCCUUGAGAUUUGGUUAAUAUUAACACAAGAUGGGCAAUGGAAUUCAGAGCUUUGCUUUUAAGAACUUUUCAUCUUGCAAAAUUAGGGAAUGAAAAUGAGAUAAAGAUUUUGCUUAGAAAUGCACUGCACAACUUCCCAGCUUUCCCAGCCCUUCCAACAUUUGUGCACUUGCUUUACAAAUGCAAAUGUUGCUUUGCUAAGUUCAUUUUCAGUAGAGAGGGCUAAAGCAGCACUGGUGUAAGUUCUAUGACUUCAGGUUCAAGGGAAGCAAAUGUGUCUUUUGUGUGGUGAAGUAAUAAAUUAAAGUUAGCAUUACAGCAUUCCUAAGCCAUUACAGGAAUCCUUUGUCAGCACUGUAAGCUCACUUGUGCAGUGAUCAAAGAUGAUGCUUCUGAAGUUACAACACUGGUAAGGAUGCCUGUGGUGGAAGAAGCAACGUUAUUUCAAUGCUUUAUGAACUUUGGCUCUACAGGUGUGGGCACAGCACCUGGAUGAAGAGGAUGUGCAUUCCCUUAGCAUGCAGAGCAUGUGGAGCAACCGGCCCCGAGCAGCCCGUGCUCCCUGGGGCCAGCCCUGUUCCAGCCCAGCAGGUAUGAGUGCAUUGCGGCCCAAAGCGCACUGCUGUUGCCCAAUUGCUGCCACUUCACCCCUCUUUGGGGCGUGGUCUAAAGCACUCACAGACAUGGGCUGAUGGUUGGACUAGAUCAUCUUCAGUGGUCUUUGUGACUUUGAUGCUUAAUUAUAUGGUACUAU